rnacentral:rRNA from 4 species
CCUACGGGAGGCAGCAGUGGGGAAUAUUGCACAAUGGGCGCAAGCCUGAUGCAGCCAUGCCGCGUGUAUGAAGAAGGCCUUCGGGUUGUAAAGUACUUUCAGUCGUGAGGAAGGUGGUGUUGUUAAUAGCAGCAUCAUUUGACGUUAGCGACAGAAGAAGCACCGGCUAACUCCGUGCCAGCAGCCGCGGUAAU